rnacentral:misc_RNA from 1 species
UACGUAGGUGGCAAGCGUCGUCCGGAAUUAUUGGGCGUAAAGCGCGCGCAGGCGGUUCCUUAAGUCCGAUGUGAAAGCCCACGGCUCAACCGUGGAGGGUCAUUGGAAACUGGGGAACUUGAGUGCAGAAGAGAAAAGUGGAAUUCCAUGUGUAGCGGUGAAAUGCGUAGAGAUCGGGAGGAACACCAGUGGCGAAGGCGACUUUCUGGUCUGUAACUGACACUGAGGCGCGAAAGCGUGGGGAGCGAACAGG